GAGUUUGAUCAUGGCUCAGAUUGAACGCUGGCGGCAUGCCUUACACAUGCAAGUCGAACGGCAGCACGGGAGCUUGCUCCUGGUGGCGAGUGGCGAACGGGUGAGUAAUGCAUCGGAACGUAUCCUGGAGUGGGGGAUAACGUAGCGAAAGUUACGCUAAUACCGCAUAUUCUGUGAGCAGGAAAGCGGGGGACCUUCGGGCCUCGCGCUCUUGGAGCGGCCGAUGUCGGAUUAGCUAGUUGGUGAGGUAAAGGCUCACCAAGGCGACGAUCCGUAGCAGGUCUGAGAGGAUGAUCUGCCACACUGGAACUGAGACACGGUCCAGACUCCUACGGAGGCAGCAGUGGGGAAUUUUGGACAAGUGGGGACCAACCCUGAUCCAGCCAUGCCGCGUGAGUGAAG
rnacentral:rRNA from 1 species